CCAAUAGCGUAUAUUAAAGUUGUUGCAGUUAAAAAGCUCGUAGUUGAACUUCGGGGUUUACCCAUUGGUCAGGCUUAAUUGUCUGCACUGGUGAGAUGAAUCUCUACCUUCUGAGGAACUUUCAUGCCAUUUAUUUGGUGUGAUUGGAAAUCAGGACUGUUACUUUGAAAAAAUUAGAGUGUUUAAAGCAGGCUAACGUCUGAAUACAUUAGCAUGGAAUAAUGAAAUAGGACGGACUGAUUCUAUUUCGUUGGUUUCUAGGAUCACCGUAAUGAUUAAUAGGGAUAGUUGGGGGCAGUAGUAUUCAAUUGUCAGAGGUGAAAUUCUUGUAUUUAUUGAAGACUAACUACUGCGAAAGCAUUUGCCAAGGAUGUUUUCAUUAAUCAAGAACGAAAGUUAGGGGAUCGAAGACGAUCAGAUACCGUCGUAGUCUUAACCAUAAACUAUGCCGACUAGGGAUCGGAUGAUGUUAAUUUUUUAAUGACUCAUUCGGCGCCUUACG
rnacentral:rRNA from 1 species